rnacentral:lncRNA from 1 species
CGGAUGUCGGGUACUAUUGCUAGAUGGUCACUUUGAUUAGUACAGAAAUUGGUUUCUGUGCUACCGGCUUAGGUUCGAACCUGUGGAGUCACACACAUUAGAGGUUCCUAUCUGAUCUGAUGGCUGGUGUAGAUUUUAUAUGUUUGGGACUCAGUGAUCAAGAAUCAGGAUUCUCUGAUCACGAGUUCCACACAUUAUGGGUGCCGGGGUCAAGAGUCUCACUGGUUGGGAUUCUUCGAUCAGGGUUACAUAUCGAUAAAUUCUGAUGCCUGAUU